GAUGAACGCUGGCGGCGUGCCUAAUACAUGCAAGUCGAGCGAACGGACGAGAAGCUUGCUUUUCUGAUGUUAGCGGCGGACGGGUGAGUAACACGUGGAUAACCUACCUAUAAGACUGGGAUAACUUCGGGAAACCGGAGCUAAUACCGGAUAAUAUUUUGAACCGCAUGGUUCAAAAGUGAAAGACGGUCUUGCUGUCACUUAUAGAUGGAUCCGCGCUGCAUUAGCUAGUUGGUAAGGUAACGGCUUACCAAGGCAACGAUGCAUAGCCGACCUGAGAGGGUGAUCGGCCACACUGGAACUGAGACACGGUCCAGACUCCUACGGGAGGCAGCAGUAGGGAAUCUUCCGCAAUGGGCGAAAGCCUGACGGAGCAACGCCGCGUGAGUGAUGAAGGUCUUCGGAUCGUAAAACUCUGUUAUUAGGGAAGAACAUAUGUGUAAGUAACUGUGCACAUCUUGACGGUACCUAAUCAGAAAGCCACGGCUAACUACGUGCCAGCAGCCGCGGUAAUACGUAGGUGGCAAGCGUUAUCCGGAAUUAUUGGGCGUAAAGCGCGCGUAGGCGGUUUUUUAAGUCUGAUGUGAAAGCCCACGGCUCAACCGUGGAGGGUCAUUGGAAACUGGAAAACUUGAGUGCAGAAGAGGAAAGUGGAAUUCCAUGUGUAGCGGUGAAAUGCGCAGAGAUAUGGAGGAACACCAGCGGCGAAGGCGACUUUCUGGUCUGUAACUGACGCUGAUGUGCGAAAGCGUGGGGAUCAAACAGGAUUAGAUACCCUGGUAGUCCACGCCGUAAACGAUGAGUGCUAAGUGUUAGGGGGUUUCCGCCCCUUAGUGCUGCAGCUAACGCAUUAAGCACUCCGCCUGGGGAGUACGACCGCAAGGUUGAAACUCAAAGGAAUUGACGGGGACCCGCACAAGCGGUGGAGCAUGUGGUUUAAUUCGAAGCAACGCGAAGAACCUUACCAAAUCUUGACAUCCUUUGACAACUCUAGAGAUAGAGCCUUCCCCUUCGGGGGACAAAGUGACAGGUGGUGCAUGGUUGUCGUCAGCUCGUGUCGUGAGAUGUUGGGUUAAGUCCCGCAACGAGCGCAACCCUUAAGCUUAGUUGCCAUCAUUAAGUUGGGCACUCUAAGUUGACUGCCGGUGACAAACCGGAGGAAGGUGGGGAUGACGUCAAAUCAUCAUGCCCCUUAUGAUUUGGGCUACACACGUGCUACAAUGGACAAUACAAAGGGCAGCGAAACCGCGAGGUCAAGCAAAUCCCAUAAAGUUGUUCUCAGUUCGGAUUGUAGUCUGCAACUCGACUACAUGAAGCUGGAAUCGCUAGUAAUCGUAGAUCAGCAUGCUACGGUGAAUACGUUCCCGGGUCU
rnacentral:rRNA from 1 species